rnacentral:misc_RNA from 1 species
AACUUUUGGCAAUGGAUCACUUGGUUCUGGCAUCGAUGAAGAACGCAGCGAAAUGCGAUAAGUAAUGUGAAUUGCAGAAUUCAGCGAAUCAUCGAAUCUUUGAACGCACAUUGCACCCUCUGGCAUUCCGGGGGGUAUGCCUGUUCGAGCGUCAUUACAACCCUCAAGCCUUGCUUGGUGUUGGGUGCCACCUGUCACAGGGUGCACCUCAAAAUCAGUGGCGGUGCGGCCUGGCUUCAAGCGUAGUAACUCUUCUCGCUCCGGAGCCCAGGCGGCAUACCUCCCAACAACCUCAAACACAUCAAAGGUUGACCUCGGAUCAGGUAGGGAUACCCGCUGAACUUAAGCAUAUCAAUAAGCGGAGGCU